UUCUAGUAGUAACUUGGCCCCUCUUUCCCAAUAAGUAGAUUAGUUAGAAAUUAACUAGAACAGCGCUUAUUUGGUUUGGAUAGCUAAUCCCACAUGUAAUACACUUUCCAUUGUCUCAGAAGAAUAGUGGUAAUAGGGAUGUCUCAGAAGAAUAGUGGUAAUAGGGAGUCGGAGAUAGACUUUCCAUUCCCAGAAUAAUAAGCAGAAGCGGUAAGGCUUAUAAUAGUAAGUAUAAUAAUAGAACAGCAGGCAUUGUAUCAGCACCAAAAACAGUAGUAAAGGAAUGGGCACCAAGCGUAGACGAACAGGAUUUCACUCAGUGGCCUAAGAGCCAACCAACCGGGGGAGCAUAGGAAUUCGAACUCCGAGUAGCAAGGAGGAAAUCAAAACAGCAGGAUUAACUUCAUUAGCCUAAGACGGAAAACAGACUUCUACGGAAUCGCACUGGAGCAGCAGACUUCUAUUAAGACAGAUGAUCUAACUAAUAUACCUCGGGCGCAGAAUCCGAAUUGAGCACUCCACCAACAGAGCCCAUCGCUACCUACCUCAAAGCUUACCUUCCUCGAUCGCAGGCUUACUUGACUUUGUACCACUAUAGGACUCAUUACUUUCUUGCUCAAUGCAAACUGGCGCUACUGAACUUAGAGCUUACUUUGCUUGUUUUCAGUCUGUAUUGAUAGGUUUAUAGUCUGCCCCCACUGACUUGCAGUCUCUAUAUCUAUUCUCUUUGAUUCUAAGACCACUGAUCUGGAUCUUUGCCUUAUACGGAACUCAAAGCUAUAUCUCCUGCCUAUGAAGCUCACUUUACUGCGCCUAAAACAGUCCUUCCUCGCUCGAAAACGGUAUCCGCCUCACUGAAGUUUGACUUCCCUAACUCCAAUUACGAUUACCUUGACUCCAAGUCUAUCUCUACCUGUUCGCAAACUGGCACCCCGGUCCAACAGCCUUACCAUCCAUACUUUCUUUCUUUAACUGUUGAUCCAGAUACUGUAACUACUUACUGUCUUCUUGUACUAAUUACCUAAUUACUGUAGUUCGCUUACCCCCCGCUCUCUUAGCCUAAGUCUAUGCCUCUGUACUUUGAAGUCUUAUCUUCCCGGCUAUCAGCCUAUAUUCCCUUGCUCUAAGUCUCUUAACUCCUAUUGGAAUCCUUUAACUGUUGUAUGAUAUCCCUACUAUCUUAUCCAUGUAUGGUAUUGUACCUGUGAGUCUAUCUAUUGAUGCCAACUUCCAAUGCUACGCUGACUCUUAAACUGUACUAACCAUAAGAAUAGGCCUACUACCUAAGAGAAUGAAAACAAACACUUAUCAAAGGAAUCAACCAAGGAAUAAGUCAUUGAACUGGUACUACAGGGAAUCAAACAGGUGCUCCUCGGCCUGAUACUGAUGCUUCUAAGUCCGAUGCUAGGUAGUUUAAGCCUGAUACGGUGCCCCUGCAGGGAUAGAAUGGAGCAAGCAAAAGGGAUAGAAUUGAACUACUAAGUUACAGAAUGAAGCAGUGCCGCUAACAACCAGAAUGCGCCUAACAGUAUCGGAGGUGUGUGUGAGCUAGUAGUUAAGUCGGAAUCAAACCAGUGCAUCAAAGAACCAAGCACCUAACUAUCAGAAUGCAACCAGUGCUUCCAAGCCUGCAGCUAAGGAGGGAAAGAACGGAGCUGGCAAGGACAAGAGUGGAGCUAGUGCCACUGAGAAUAGAGCGAGGGAGUCCAAGAGCCAAACCAGUCAAUCCAAGAAUCAAACCAUUAACGACAAGACUUAAACCAGUGAGUCAAGGAAUGGAACUAUUGGUAUCAAUUCCCCGCAUCUAGGGUAUAGACUCAGAAUUCAACCCAUCAGUAUAAGACUCAAACUGCUAACUAACAGGCUGUAGCUUUCCCACCGAUCCCCCGCAUCUAGUUUCAGAAUCAAACUAAGGAGUGCAAGACUUAAAGCAGUACCAACUCCGAAUCCACCUAGGUAAGUUCAAGUCUAAGAGUCAAGGUAGCUAUUCUCUGCUAUGGGCUAACGACUUCAAGCCAGUGCCACUCAUUCUUCAACCACUUCCGCUCAGGCUUCACUCAUUACCAACAAGACUUCAACCUGAGCUUUUCCAAGCCUGAUACGGGUGCCACUCAGCCUUAAAUAAGUGCAUCUAAGCCUUCAACCGAUGCUUCCUAGGCUGAUACCGCUGCUGCUAAGCCCGACACUGGUGUUACUGAGACUUCAACCGGUGCAUCACAGGCUUAAAGCAGUGCAAGCAAGCCUUCAACUCACACCUAUCAGAAUGGAACGAGUAUGUAUGAGACUUCAAUCAGUGCUGGCAAGACUUCAACUAAGUCGACUAAGGCUUCAAUCGCAGCUAGCAAGAAUGCAACUCGGUCGUUCAAGAAUCAAAUCAGUACCACCAAGGCCGAGUAUACCCAGCAACCAGGCUGAAACAACUAACAACGAGACUAGGACAACAGCUACUCAGAAUACAACCAGUAAGAGCAAGACUUAAAGCAGUAACAAUCGGAAUGGAGCUGCUAAGUUUAGGAAUGCAACCCACACCGAUCAGAAUUGAACCAGUGCCUCCAAGCCUGAUACCGGGCCGGGGCAAGCCAAGACUUAAAGCAAUGAAUCAAAGAACCAAACCAGCCAGUGCAAGACUAAAACGACUCCUACUCAGAAUGAGACCAGGUAGGCAUAGGAUGGAGCUUACUCCUUUAAGACUCAAACUAGGGAGUGGCAGAAUAGAGCUGGCAAGUGUAAGGAUGAGACAGGGGAGUCAGAGAAUGCAGCUCGGGUGUCUAAGCCUGAAACCGGUAUUACUCGGAAUGCAGUUAGGGAGUUAAGGUCUCUAACCAAUGCCACUCAGAACCAAACAGUGCACCAACAGACUGAAAGCAGUGAUGGGCAGACCGAAACACAGGGCAGCGUCAGCUGCUGAGAGCACUAACAACCAGAAUUGACCUAGCAACAACAAGACUCGGACAGUGCCCACUCAGACUGAGCCCAGGGAGUUACAGAACCAAACACCUAACAACAAGACUUCACCUGGUGCAUCUAAGCCCGCAGCUGGGUAUACUUGGCCUGAAAGUCAAGGUAGUAAGCCUGAUACUGAUGCUACUGAUUCUCUGUCUCUGUAUUGGUCGCUAAGGUCUCUAACAAGGCAGCUCGGGUCUCUGUUUCAAGACUGAUGCGGUGCCUAGGCAGACUGGAAGGGUAUGGCCAAGCAACGGCGUAAGACGUUGUGCGGCAGCCAUGAAAUAGGUAAUUAUAACAAGUUAUAAACAAGUCCUGUCUUCGGGGACUCAUAGGAGGUAUGCUCGGAAUGUGGCUAUUGAGUUACAGAACCAAACCCGUGGCUCCUCAGCCUGAGACUGGUGCUGCUGCUAUUGAUGCUAGGUAUUUCUCGUAUGGGACUGAAGCGGUGUCUACUGAGAAUGCAACCACUACAAAUAAGCGUUCAAGCCUGAAAGUAAGGGUAGUAAGUCCGAUGCUAGGUAUUGGUACUAAGGCUUAACCAAGUGCUACUGUUGCUAAGGUUUAUCCCCACUACUGUUGCUAAGGUUUCUAAGGUAGUUACAGGCUAUAGCUACUAGUAAGCCUACCAGCAGCCAGUGAUACUCACUUUCAGAAUCAAACAAGUAAAUCAAAGAAUUAGACCUAUGACCAGAACUCCUAUAAAGUAUAUAAUAGUAUGACCAGAACUCCUAUAUGACCAGAACUCCUCAUAUAGUACUAAGAAUGGAACGAGUNNNNNNNNNNNNNNNNNNNNNNNNNNNNNNNNNNNNNNNNNNNNNNNNNNNNNNNNNNNNNNNNNNNNNNNNNNNNNNNNNNNNNNNNNNNNNNNNNNNNNNNNNNNNNNNNNNNNNNNNNNNNNNNNNNNNNNNNNNNNNNNNNNNNNNNNNNNNNNNNNNNNNNNNNNNNNNNNNNNNNNNNNNNNNNNNGCGGGCAAGGCUUAAACAAGUGCUAACCAGACCGGUACUGUGCCUACUCUGCUAGGUAUUUGUACUACUGGUAUUGGUAUGUAGCUAAGGUAGCUAGGGUCUCCAACCACUGCUGAUAGGAAUGAAAGAAGGGUAGCGAGACUCAACCAAGGUAGUUACAGGCUUAACUGAACCCCUACUUCAGACUGAACCAUGGUAGUCAAAGAAUCAAACUAGUCAGUAUAAGAAUGCAAGUGAGCCAGAGUCGAGGUAGGCAAGGCAAGUCGGUCUAGGGGGCUCCUGCCGCGUCACAUGAGGAGUAGCUUGGUCCCUACUCUUUUCAUUCUUUCUCUUUCUAAUAAAGUAAGAUAGAAUUUUGAUGGAAUUUAUUAUACUGGGUGUCUACUGAGUCAGUAUAGUGGAAAGAUCGCCCUUUCUUCAUCUGUUUUUCAUCAGAGUGUGGUGAUUCCUACGGUGGUAAGUCAAACUCUACUACUCCCUUAUUAAAGGCGGGAGCGGUUUAGCAGAAUUAGCGACACCCAUCAUCCUCUCUUAUUAAAACAAGGGAGGGGAAAGGGUUAAUCUAUUCUUAUUCAAACAAGGGAAGGGGCCAAUCUCUAUCCUCUUGCAACAGCCAAACACAUAUGAAACAAGGGAAGAAACAAGCUGCUUUCUAAUCUACCUCGCCUCAAAGCCUGUAAGAUAGUCUGCCCCGACCUCUAAAAAGUGUUCACCCCGACCCGACCUCUUAUAUAUAAGUGUUAACCCCGACCCUGUGGAGCUUCUAUCUUUCUCAACUAAAUCCUUAAUAAGAUAAUAUAUAAUUUAGUAAGGGCCAAGUAGGGAUCAGAGCCACACUAUUAUAUCUUUUCCUCAUUGCUUAACACAAGCACAGAAUCCUCUCCUGUUCCUUUGAUACAGCUGAAGAUCCCGAUCGAUCCUACUUAUGGUUAUCCACCACUAGCCUAGCCUCUUGCUCCCUAUAGUGCUUCCUUGCCUGUAAGAUAGUUGAACAUUGCUGAAACUCCGUUAGCGCCUUGUAAAACUGUAAUGGAAUCCAUCGAGCGCAGAACUAAGAACAUCUAAUCUAGCUAGGAACUUCCCCUUGCUUUCUUUACCUAUGACAUGCUACUAGAAUUGACUAAUGUGUAUAUUAGUUGUGCUUAAGGUACGUAAUUUAGCGCAUUAAGAAUUCCACUCUCAGGGUUCGAAUUGAAGAAUAUAGUUUUAUAGCCCAGAGCGCAUACUAGGUUGGUUCAGAGGACAUGGUUGGGUUGGUGACUCAUAUAUAUCUAUGAAACCAGGGCUCAUUCUUCUACUGCAUCGGAUCUAAUUACCAAGUUAGUUCUAUACUGCAUCCCCCUUUCUUUGGAAUCUAAACACAAGCAACUGCACAUGGUUAGUGACCCUGCUUCUAUUAUACCUCUAUCACAAAGAAUUCUGUUACUUCUGAUCCGACUCUUGAUCUUGUUCUUGAAAACUAAACUACUUGACUUGCUACUGAAACAAGAACUGGAACUGGGCAUUUUCUUUCCUAUAGUCUUUCAACUGAGUCCGGGCCUAGACCCGCUCCAUCUUCUGCAGGAACUCUACUUUAGCGCUUACUUGCCAGCAGUACUUUCUUCUUUUCUUACCUUAACCGGCCAGUAAGGGAUUCUUACCAUAACCCAGCUUCUGCUUCUCGGGUACUGUAAAGAAAGCUUCUUAUCAAACUCUCACUCCUGUUUCAUAUCCGGAUCUCAUUGGCAAAACAAACCAGAACUGCGUAUUCUCCAAGUUAACAUAUGGGUGAAAGGAUUAGUGACCAACAAGAAGUGUGUCUUAAUUAGUUCCAAUAUAGUGAAGCUAGGGCGCAAGGGAAAGCCAAGAACAGAGCUCGACUUUAGGUUCAGAAUGUCAGUGAAAUGAUAUUUUCAACAGGCAAUGGAACAAGGCCGACAUUUUCUUCUUUAGAGUCAAGAAAGUAAGCAAGUAUACGAGUUCAAGAAGCUUCACCCUCAUUAAGUACUUAAGUCUCAAGCAAGGGUAAUCAUUCUAUACGAGAGUCUAGCGCAACGGAACAAACAACUGUUUCUGGAACUAUACUGGAAACGGAACUGACCGCUUAUUCUUUAUUUCCUACUCUGGGUACUGCUCCCCCAGCAGCCUAACCCGAACCCCAGGCAGCAGCAUCUUUUCUAUCUCCUACUCAGUCCGGGUACUGCUUAAGAGACUUCUUCGGCUUCCGUAUCAAAGCCAGUACUAUCUCAAGCAUCUGAUCCAGAUCUUUAUCCUUAUUCGGAUCCUGCGACUCGGGAUUAUAGUCUAACUUCGAUUUCAGAACCAACACAAUCAUCUAAGAACAUAGACAUAGGUUAUUACGUUUAAGAAGCCUUCUCAAGCAUAAAGCGCAUAUUCCCUUCAGUAUAGUAUAAAUCAUAAAGCGCUUCCGUACUUAAAGUCGAGGUGAGGUCAGGCGCUAAGAGCAAGAAAGAUUCCUAGUUGACUGUGCGCUUGAAAGAGUGGACUCUCAGAUCUUCUGCACAAGAAACUUAGGUAAGCUAAGGGAACAAAAGAGAAGGGA
rnacentral:lncRNA from 1 species